rnacentral:lncRNA from 1 species
AGCAUGAACCUAAAACUAAAGUCUAGGUAAGAGAAGGACAUGAUAUAAAGUUUGAGCUGCUGUUUAUCUUGUUCCUACUACACUGAGUUCUGGAGAUUUAUUUUGAAAACUUGCAAAUCACAUGAUGAGUUCCUAGCAUGACAAAAUUCCUACCAUAGCCAUACUUGCUAUAACAUCUUUUACUUAUAUUCACAUUAAGUUUGAUCGAGCUGUGUUGACCCUUAGGACUUUUCAUGUGGUUAAAUUAAGAUAUUCACUGGCACACAUCUACUACACCAUCCACCACCAUUCAUUAAAAUCUGCUAAAAAUAUUAUCACUCACUGUCCCAAGUAUUGUUAUUCUCUCUCUCCAAAAAGAUUCAAUGCAGAUGAGACAUGGGUUAUGCAAAAAUAUGCGAGGAAAUAAAAAGGGGCAAGUGCCCGGAACCUCAAAAAAGAAAAAAAGAGUGAGACGAGAGGUAAAAAUGGACAAGUUUCCGACAGUAGAAUUAGGGGUAUUUACUACCCACCUGAAAAAAAGAGAGAUAGCCCAUGUUCUCCCAAGGCAAAGAUCAAGAGAGGAGGACAGAUAGCAAUAUAAGGAGCAAUGAGAAGUAAGUUUUAUCAUCACUUAUACAUUUUUACCAUCACUAUCAUUUACUCCACCACACAUGCACGUCUUGAUUUAAUUAUAUGCUAAGUUCCUUUGGAUGGCUCGAUUAGACAACAUAUGUAUCAGCUAUUUUUCACACCUAUGAGCUCCACUUAAAUAUUCCAUCAGCUAUAGGUAGGCGACAUCUUUGUAAGGAUCCACAAAUACCACAUAUAGAGAGCCUUGAGAGAAUCAUAGCUGGGAACUCUGAGCUUUAUUUUUGAAAACUUAUGCAAAACACCAGAACAAAGGUGAAGUAUAAACAGGAGGAAUAGUGCUUGACUUAAUUAUUUUGUCUUUUGAUUACUUAAGACUUAAGUGCAGGUACUAAGCUCCAUGACACUUCACUCUAAUCUCGAAGAAUUUUUAUGUGAAAGCAUGUGUGCCUGUCAGGAAAGAAAACAUCGAAGCAACUCCUGAUCCAUCUGAGUUUAGCUAUUUGCUCAGGGACGAGCAAAGGGUAAGCUUGGGGGAGUUUGUUGACGGUCCUUAAGUACUAAAUUUAAUCAUCAACUAAACAUAGAAAAGGAUCAAUAUGCACCAAACAUCUAGAAUUAGGGUUUUAUCUGAUAGAAUUCCACGAGCUUUGGUGUUUGUCUAUUUCUGCAGGGGGUUAUCAGAAAAUAUGGAGAGAAGGCCCACAUGUCAUGUUUACAACGAGAUAAUUACGUGCCGUGCAAUUUUCCUUAAUCUAGAAGAGUCCAUAAGCCACGGGAACGAACGGGAGACCGGACGGGCUCGGGGGCAGGGAGCCCGCCCUCCCCCCUUGGGCGCCCGCCCUGGCCUCGGGGCCAAUCACAACCAAUCUCGCGGAUUAUGCUCCACCGACCUAACGGAUCAAGGAAAACCGUGCGAUCAAUGUUGGUUUGAUCCGAUGGCCCAAAUUCACUUGAGGGGACUAUAUAAGCAAGGCCUCUCCACCCUAGGGAGAGAGGAGAAAUCAUUAUCAGAGGUAGCCAUCAAAGUUAGGGUUUUAGAUCUUCUCUCCCACAGAGAAUUAGAAUUAGCUACUCCCUAAUCCUUCAAGUUUAGAGGAUUGAUUAGAUAGAAUUAGAGAAGUAGAGCCUAGCGCUCUAGAUUCAGAUCUUUGUUAAUAAAGAUUGGUAUUAUUUCAUAUCUUUCUCUACUACUUUAUUCUAAUUGCAUUAUGUCUCUAUUUAUUAUGCUCUUAGUUUGCUCUAGUUGUAUAUUUGAUAUAGUUAUGAUCGAUAAUGAGUUUAUGUAUAAGUUUGCAAAGCGCUUAGCUCUUAACACGUGGGAGUUAAGUGGUAGAUCACAUGUCGGCGUGUUGCUUAGAUGUUAUUUACCUGCAAAUGUAUCCUAUUGGUCGGGCCGUGUGGUAGUUCGCGAUAGUGACAGCUUUGUUGAUUCUUAUAUAGCCCACCCUCCGUUGAUAGGACAGGCAGAAUUUGUAUUGCGGAGUAAGUCUUGCGAUGCUCUGAUUUACUUUAGCAAUGUUCCUUAUACAUGAAUGAAGAGUCUUCUAUGCUAUAUAUGAUCUUGUAGAUAACUAGAGUAGAUUGUGACUUAGUAGAUAGUAGAUAACAUAGAAUCCAUUCUCUAGCUAAUCCGACGUCACCUUACAUAUAUGAGGAGUAGUCUAUUUUCUAAUCGCUGCGUUAUUUACCCAUGAGCUUAUAUUUCAUUAUCAUUAUUAUUGUGGCUUACCCCCUGCCAAAAUAAGUGACUAUGUGACGAGUUCCUUAUUAGUAAUCAUGUUCUUGCAAGUUUAUCUCUAGUCUAUGCCUUGAUAGAUUUUAUUUAUCUCCACCGUUCUCUUAAGCAAAAAUAUAAAUAAUGAUAUCCGGAAUACUUUUCUUGGUGAAAUGCUACAAUGAGGUAUUUUAUCUGUGCGCUUGUGGAUAGAAUAGAUUAUUUUCUAGAGAGCCUUUAUAUUCAUAAAUACAUUUGUACACUGUGGCACCAUGCUAGGGAUGACAACCUAGUAUCCAAGUGGUGUUAGUAAGUUUCAACACUAGUUACAUCAGAAGAAAUUACAUCAAAAUCCAGCUUGAGGGAGAGCACCCCCAUUUGUCCCGCGAAGUAUUUCUAUCUACAUUUAUACUUAUACUAUAUUAAAAUAAAAAUAUACAUAAUCAUAAAAAACAAAUAAAGAUUUUGUGCUUAUAUAUAUAUAGAUAUAUCUUUUGCUUAGUGUGCUUAAUAAAUAAAUAAAGUGGCUAUGCUGAACUAAAUCUUAAUAAAACUCUAGCAUGGAUAUGAUGAAUAGUUGCUCUGCCUAAUUUUCAAAUUUGAGUUCUCUCUCUAGUUUAGACAUAACUGUUAUAAUUUAAAGCUUGCUCUAAACCUGAACUUGUGGGAAGCGAGAUCUGAAGUCUAAGUUGUUAACGGAUAUGAUAUGGGAAGGUUGAGCUGUUAUUUAUGUGUUCCUAGAGAUGCUAGAAUUCUGGAGAAUUUUAUCUUUCAAAAUCUUUAAAAUAUCACAUGAUGAGUUCUUGUAUGAUGAGAGUUUAAAUUCCUACCACAGCCAUAUAUACAUGCUUGCUAGACUUUGAGCCACACAUUUACUUUUUACUGCUUAUGAGCAUUGAGUGUGGUCAAGCUGUGUAGACCCUUAGGAGCUUGUCAUGUGGUUAAAUCAAGAUUCACUUGCACGUUCACUCACACAUGCUGCUUCUACUCCGAAAGUACGCAUCCACAUAUAUCCACUCAUUUCCAUCUCCAGAACCACCCAAAAUUAUUCUACUCCUAUCCGGGAGAGAAUAGCCAAAAACAUUCUCCUAUUUCUAUUUUUUCCCUAUGAAAUAAAUGCUCAAGUUAUCUUGGUUACUACCACUUGCUAUAUUAUUUCAGGAGAUGAGUGCUCUAGAAAAAGAAAGGAUACGAGAAAAUAAAAAGGGGCAAGUGCCUGGAACCUCGAAAGAAAAGAAAAAGUGAGAUGAGAGGUAAAAAUGGACAAGUGUUAGAAUUAGUGGUACAAGAUACCCACCUGAGAGAAAAGAAAAAGAAAAUAUAGAGCAUCUCCUUCUCCUCAAAAAGUUUCAAAAGAGCAAGAAAGGUAUGUAUCCCCUCAAAAGAGCACAAGUAGAAUUAGACUUUCACCAUUGUUAUCACCAUCAUCACCAUACAUUCGCCACACAUGCACAUCUGAUUUGAUUUAUUGACUUGUUUCUCUAGAUCCAUGGUUUGACUAUGCAAUAAAUGUCUUGUAAGUAUGUAUACUUUAUCUCCCACCAAUGAGCUCCAGAUAUUAAAACCCUUAUUAGAGUAGGAUGAGAGAGAAGGCAAUGUCACUAUGCCUUAUACCACAAAUACUACAUACUUUGAGAGAAGGCAUGUACCAUCACUGCCUUAGUAAGGAUCCAGAAAUAUCACAAAAGAGAGAUCUGAGAAGAACCAUACAAGGAAUCUCUGAGUUUUAUUUGGAAAUCUGCAAAAAACUCUAGAGCUAUAGCUGAUCAAGAAUAAGAGACAUGGCGCUUGACUAGACCGUUCUAUCUUUUAACUGCUCAAGACAGAAGUGACGGUUACAAGUCCCAUGGUGAAAGGUAAAAUGAGUAAGUUUUAAGUCUUAACAGUUUACUCUAACUCAGAGAUGAGACCUCAUUUGAAAGCAUGUGUACCGUAACCUUUAAAAUGCAUUACAGCAACUUCUGAUCCAUCACUGAGAUUAUCUUUGCUCAGGGACGAGCAAGAGGUAAGCUUGGGGGAGUUUGUUGACGGUCCUUAAGUAUCAAAUAUAAUUAACAAAUAAACAAAGAAAAGGAUCCAAAUGCAGCUGACACUGAGACUUAGGGUUUUAUCUGACAGAAUUCCACGAGUUUUGGUGUUUGUCUAUUUCCAUAGGGGGUUAUCAGGAAUUAUGGAAGAAAGGCCCACACGUCGGGCUUACAUAGAGAUAUUAACGUGCACCGCAAUUAUCCAACAUCUAGAAGAGUCUAGAAGCCACGGGAAUGAACGGGAGACCGAACGGGCCCGAGGGCAGGGCGCCGCCCUCCCCCCUUGGCCGCCUACCCUGGCCUGAGGGCCAAUCACGUUCAACCUCGCGGAUCAUGCUCCAAUGACCUAAGGGAUUAAGGAAAACCGUGUGAUUAAUGUUAGUUUGAUCCGACGGUCCAUAUUCAUUUGGAAUGACUAUAUAAGAAGACCCCCUGGCCCCUGGAGGAGAGGCAACCCCCAGAGCCCAAGAAACCCUAAUUCAUUUAUCCAUCUCGGGAGAAGAAGCCUCUAAUCAAGCCCUAGAUCCACCACAUCAAUAGAUCUCUAGUUUAGCAUAGCUACAUAGGAUUAGAACUAGAAAGAGUCAAUCUUCGAUUGGUUUCCGUAUCUGUCAAGAGGAUUCUUAGUAAUUCCUCUAUUGUUCUUCAAUUGUUCAUCAUUGUUCUUCAAUAUUAUGAAUAUGACUUUGUUCUACUUCAAUAUAUGGAUUAUGACUUUGCUCUACUUGUUUAUAUUUGCAAUUAUAUUGUUUUUAGUUUGUCAUAGUUAUAUGCUUGGCUUAGUUAGAUUGGAAUUAUAUACAUGUUUAGGAUCGUAUAGCGUUUAUCCAUGUGUACAGUGGGUUAAUGAUAAGUAUUGUGUAGGCGUGGUGCCUAUACCAUAUUUAUCUGCGAUUGUACCCUGUAUGCCGGAUCGCGGGGUAGUUCGUGGUAGUGACAGCUCUAUUGAUUCUUAUAUAGUCCCCCUCUCGUGCAUAGGGCAGACAGAGCAACAUUAUUACAGAAGAGUGAUUGCUAUGUUUCUCACCUUCCUUGAUAAUAUCACUAUGCAUGGGCUUAGUCCUGUCUCGUAAUGAUUGCCAAGUAUAAUUGCACUAGCUAUGAUAUGCUAGACUUUAUAGUUAAGAAUAACUUAGGAAAUAUUCUUGUAGUUCAUCCUAAUUCCAUGCUAAUGACUUGCUAGAAUAUCUGUUGAGGUGCUUAUCAUAUUUAUAUGUGGCUAGUUAUGCUGAUCAGAUUAAUUAUCUUUGUCACCAUUCAUACUUUAUCUAUAUCUUUUAUGUGAAAAUUAUCCCUGUAUGAAAGAGAUUGAUAAAUGCUCUCAAUUAUACUUGCAAUGAUAGAUACUCAAUUCUAUAUUCCAUUCCAUAAUCAAUAUUGAUGAUUAGAGAUCCCUUCCCAGUGGUAAAAAUAUAAAUAACGAUACCUGGAAUACUUCCCGGUUAAAAUGCUACAUCAGUAUUAAUCUGUGCGCUUGCAGAUCUCAUUUAUUAUUCAUUCAGAAGAGCAAUUGCAUAUUUCAAUACCGCGUCUCUCAUGUCAUGUUGGGGAUGACAACUUGGCUUAAGUGGCAUGAGGGAUAGGUUCGACAUUUUUGGCGCCGUUAUCAGAAUUAGAAAACUAAGUCUACUUUUGGUAAUGACGUUAAGAAUGUCCAACAACAUACACACUGGAUCCUGUGGCAACCACGUAGCCUCCCAAACACUGGUUGGAAAGGCUUUCCAGGCAGGAUUUUACUAGUCGUCUGCUGUGGCCGACACCGAGAAGCUGGUCCGGCGAUGUGAGGGUUGUCAGUUCUUCGCUAAGAGGACUCAUAUACCGGCUCACGAAAUCCAAACGAUACCAUCAUCAUGUUCAUUCGCUUGCUGGGGCCUAGACAUGAUUGGGCCAUUCAAACCCGCUCCCGGCAAUUUCAAGUUCGUAUUCGUGCUGGUCGACAAGUUCUCCAAGUGGAUUGAGUACAUGCAAUUGGUCAAAGCAACUUUAGAAAAAGCCGUAGAAUUCCUCAAUCAAAUCAUACACCGAUUCGGAGUUCGUAACAACAUAAUCACCGAUUUGGGUACUCAGUUCACCGGCACUACAUUCUGGGAUUUCUGCGAUGACAGAGGCAUAGUCAUAAAGUACGUGUCGGUAGUUCAUCCCCGAGCCAACGGGCAAGUCGAGCGAGCCAACGGAAUGAUCGUAGACACUUUAAAAAGAGGUUGUACAAGGAAAAUGACAAAGCACCAGGAAGGUGGAUGAAAGAGUUGCCAGCCAUGGUCUGGGGCCUCCGAACAUAGCCUAGUCAGAACACUAGUGUAUCCCCCUAUUUUAUGGUAUACGGGGCUGAGGCGGUGCUCCCCUCCAAUAUAGUGUUCGAAUCUCCAAGAGUCGAGCAUUUUGACCCAUAUUUAGCAGACCACGCUAUAGAGCUUGAAAUCAACUGCACAGAGGAAAACAGUUAGAUUCCUGCCUCCGAACAAUCAAGUACUUCGAAGCUAUGUGAUCAUAUUACAACAGGAACGUCAAAGAGCGUUCCUUCAUGGUCGGUGAUCUGGUGCUGAAGUGGAAGACAAGCUAGGAAGGAAUGCAUAAACUCUCUACGCCCUACGAAGGACCCUUCAUGGUCGUGGAGGUCACGCGUCCCACCUCUUACAGACUGGCUCACUCGGAUGGAACAAGUCUGCCCAACUCUUAGCACAUAGAUAAACUAUGGCAGUUUUACCCCUAGAAGCAGUACACCUUGUUUGUAUCUUUUUUCUUAUGAAUAAUAACAAGUUUUAGCUUUUCGCUCUAUAUCUUUUUAUAUGUAGACCAUCCGACAAGAACGAUUCCUUCCUAAUCCCUACGAACAACAACAUACUCAACAACAUCCAUUCAGUGAUACAUCACUCUCAUAAAUUACCUACAGCGCUCAAAACCAUGGUUUAUAAAUCCAAGCUUUAUUACAAACUUUCAAAAGCAAAGUUUACAAUAAAAGCCCCUCUGGGCGGUUCCUAGUCUAAACCAACAGACUAAACUGAGCCUUGCUGCUCGGGCUGCUCGUUGGCACGGGCCUCUGGUGCCAUUGAAGAGGUCGAGGCCACUGGUGCCUGGCUGGUCAAGACCGCAGGUGCUGAUCGCCCAUCUCCCACAGCGAACGCCUCCGACCUCUCCUUGGUCGAUCUCUUAGAACCCGGUUGAUUCGGGGGGUAGAUGUCCUGCAGAGGUUGACGUCGCCGAUCACCGUCGACGACAAAUCGAGCAGACUGACACGAAGGUCAUCCGCCUCCUUGGGGCCAACCUCCUUGGGGUACCCCUCCUGCCAGGCGAGAUAGAUCAAUCAGGGGGUAGUGAGCACGUACCAUAGUCAGAACGUGGGCUCCGGCGUUCUCCCCUACGUCCUUGACGAACUGUUCAAGCCAACCCCACGCAUGGUGCGCUUUCUCAAUAGGAGUCUGCCUCGGUGUGCGGGGCUGGUCUUCGGAGAGCUCUGGACUGAUCAAAUCUAGCACCAGGACCACUCCCUUCCAGAUUUUAAUGCAAUUGGCCUUCCAUGAGUCCCGGUCUUUGACCAGGUUCUCGACAUGCUUCUUUGUAUUAGCUUUAAUCACUACGACAAGGUUUAAAACAAGAGGGCAGUCAACAUCAAACUACGAAACUAAAACAAUUUACACUCGCCGCGUCAAAACUGAUCUUACCAGUCAACUCCUCGUUUCUGGUUUUCAGAUCUUCUCCGACCUUCCGCUCGCUCUCCAGCAUGCGAGCGCGCUCCUGAUCGAGCUGGUCUUUCUUCUUCUGGAGGCGUUCUAUUUCUUCCUCUAGACCUGCAGCAAUAAAGGUUAUACCAAAAGAACCCAUGAUACUAUGCAUUACGACUGGUUCCAACACCCAGCCUUACUAUUCUUCUCGUGGUCCUUGUUGGCUAGUUGCCGAGUCAGGUCCAGCAUGCGCUCUGUUGACGGUCCUUGAGUACCAAAUUCAACCGUCAAGUAAACAUAGAAAAGGACCAAUAUGCACCAAACACCUAGAAUUAGGGUUUUAUCUGACAGAAUUCCACAAGUUUUGGUGUUUGUCUAUUUAUGUAGGGGGUUAUCAGAAAAUAUGGAAGGAAGGCCCACACGUCAGGUUUACAUCAAGAUAAUUAUGUGUGCGGCAAUUUUCCUUAACCUAGAAGAGUCCAGAAACGGGAACAAACGAGAGUCUAAGCGGGCCUGGGGGCAAGGCGCUUGCCCUCCCCCCUAGGGCGCCCACCCUGAUGUUGCAGCCAAUCAGGAUCCGUCUCCAGGAUCGUGCCCCACCGCCUCUAAUCUUCAAGGAAAACCAUGCGAUUAAGGACGGUUUGAUCGGACAGUGCAUGUUCAUUUGAGGGGGCUAUAUAAGCAAGGCCUCUCCACCCCAAGGAGAGAGGAGAAAUCAUUAUCAAAGGAAGCCAUCAAAGUUAGGGUUUAGGAAUUUCUCUCCCGCAGAGAAUUGGAAUUAGCUACUCCCAAUUCCUUCAAGUUCUAUAGGAUUGAUUAGAUAGAACUAGAGAAGUAGAGCCUAGCGCUGGAUUACGGAUCUUCGUCAAUAAAGAUUGGUAUUACUUCAUAUCUUUCUCUACUACUUUAUUCAAAUUGCAUCAUGUCUCUAUUUAUUAUGUUCUUAGUUUUCUCUAGUUCUAUAUUUGAUAUAGUUAUUGUUGACGGUCCUAAAGUAUCAAAUAUAAUCGUCAAAUAAACAAAGAAAAGGAUCCAAAUGCAAUCAAUAUCCAGACUUAGAGUUUUAUCUAACAGAAUUCCUUGAGUUUUGGUGUUUGUCUAUUUCUGCAGGGGGUUAUCAGGAAAUACGGAAGAAAGGCCCACACGUCGGGAUUACAUAGAGAUAUCAACGUGCUGUGCAAUUAUCUUACAUCUACAAGAAUCUAGAAGCCACGGGAAUGAAGCGGAGGCCAAACGGGGCCUGGCCCAGGGCGCCCGCCCUAGGGACUAGGGCGCCCGCCCACCUCUAGAGUCCAAUCAGGACUCUCUUUCGGGAUUAUGCUCCACCGACCUAAAGGAUCAAGGAUAACCGUUCAAUCAUUGUCGGUUUGAUCCAACGGCCCAUAUUCACUUGAAAGGACUAUAAAACCAGACCCCCUGGCCCCUGGAGGAGAGAGCCUCUCAACCCUAAUUCAUUAUUCAUCAAUUGAGAAGAAGCCUCUGAUCAAGCCUAGAGCCACCACAUCAAUUAGACAUCUAGAUUAGCAUAGCUACAUAGGAUUAGAACUAGAAGGAGUCAAUCUUUGAUUGGUUUCCGGAUCUGUCAAGAGGAUUCUUGGUAAUUCUCUAAUUGCUCUUCUAAUUGUUCAUCUUUGUUCUUCGAUAUUAUGAAUAUGACUUUGUUCUACUUCAAUAUUUUGGUUAUGACUUUGCUCUACUUGUUUAUAUUCGCAAUUAUAUUGUUCUUAGUUUAUCAUAGUUAUAUACUUGGCUUAGUUAGAUUGGAAUUAUAUACAUGUUUAGGACCGUAUAGCAUUUAUCCAUCGGAUCCAUGGGUAAAUGAUAGAUACUGUGUAGGCGUGGUGCUUAUUCCGUAUUUAUCUGCGAUUGUACCCAAUAUGCCAGAUCGUGGGGUAGUUCGUGAUAGUGACAGCUUCAUUGAUUCUUAUAUAGUCCCCCUCUCGUGUAUUGGGCUGGCAGAGCAACAUUAUUACAGGGGAGUGAUUACGAUGUUUCUCAUAUUCCUUGCUAAUAUCACUAUUCAUGGGCGUAGUCUUGUCUCACAAUGAUUGCUAAGUAUAAUUGCACUAACUAUGAUAUGCUAGGCUGUAUAGUUAAGAAUAACUUAGGAAAUAUUCUUGUAGUUCGUUCUAAUUCCAUGCUAAUGACUUACUAGAAUAUCUAAUUGAGGUGCUUAUCAUAUUUAUAUGUGGCUAAGUUAUGUUGAUCAGAUUAAUUAUCUUUGUCACUAUUCAUUACUUUAUAUAUCCUUUAUGUGACACUUAUCCCUGUAUGAAAGAGUUAGAUAAAUGUUCUUAAUUAUACAUGCAAUGAUAGAUACUCAAUCUUAUAUUCCAUUCUAUAAUCAACAUUGAUGAUUACUAAUCCCUUCCCAGUGGUAAAAAUAUAAAUAACGAUACCUGGAAUACUUCUCGGUUAAAAUGCUACAUCUGUAUUAAUCUGUGCGCUUGCAGAUCCCAUUUGUUAUUUAUUUAGAUGAGCAAUUGCAUAUUUCAAUACCGCGUCUCUCAUGUCAUGCUGGGGAUGACAACUUGGCUUAAGUGGUAUGAGGGAUAGGUUUGGCAUUUUUGGCGCCAUUAUCAGAAUUAGAAAACUAAGUUUACUUUUGGUAAUGACAUUAAGAAUACCCAACAGUUUUGAUUGAUAAUGAGUUUAUGUAUAAGUUUGCAAAGCACUUAGCUCUUUCCGUGUGGGAGUUAAGUGGUAGAUCACAUGUGGGCUUGGUGCUUAGAUGUUAUUUACCUGCAAAUGUAUCCUAUUGGCCGGGUCGUGUGGUAGUUCACGAUGGUGGUAGCUUCGUUGAUUAUUAUAUAGUCCACCCUCCGUUAGUAGGACAGGCAGAAUUUGUAUUGCGGAGUAAGUCUUGCUAUGUUUUGAUUUACUUUAGCAAUGUUCCUUAUACAUGAAUGAAGAGUCUUUUCUUCUAUAUAUGAUCUUGUAGAUGCCUAGAGUAGAUUGUGACUUAGUAGAUAGUAGAUACUUAGAAUCUAUUCUCUAGCUAAUCCGAUGUCACCUUACAUUUAUGUGGAGUAGUCUAUUUCUAAUCGUUGUGUUAUUUACCCAUAAGUUUAUAUUUUAUUAUCUUUAUUAUUAUGGCUUACCCCCUACAAAAGCAUGUGACUAUGUGACAAGUUUCUCAUUAGUAAUCAUGUUCUUGCAAGUUUAUCUCUAGUCUAUACCUCGAUAGAUUUUACCCCUAUUUUCACUUCAGCCGUUCUCUUAAGCAAAAUUGUAAAUAACGACAUCCGGAACACUUUCCUAGUGAAAUGCUACAAUGAGGUAUUUAUCUGUGUGCUUGCAGAUAUAAUAGAUUAUUUUCUAGAGAGGCUUCAUAUUCAUAAAUACCUUAGUACACUCUAGUGUCAUGCUGGGGAUGACAAUCUAGUAUUCAAGUGGUAUUAGCAAGUGUCAACAAGCAUUUCUGGCGCCGUUGUCGGGGAACGGUAUAGAAAGUUAGGAAGUCGGUCAAGGUUAUUCACAUAAAAUAUUGGACUAGACUAAGGAGAAAUAAUUACAUAAACAACUACUAUAAAAAUGAGAAAUCAUAACAAGGCACCUCUGCUUUUGCAGGUUCACCCUAUUGUUUUUCUAUGUUUAUAUUUUUAUAUAGGGUAUACCAGGAUUGACUUUGGUACAUUGAACUCUUCAUCAUCAGAGCCAAAGCAAUCAAGAAAGAAGAAGCUAGCCACCAAUUGCUGAAGCUAUGGCAUAGAAGUCCUUGCAAGAAUUCUCUGCUCCAAGCUUGAGAACAUUCCAACUGGUCCAAGAUUUGAAGUAGAAGAAGGAGUACCCGAGUUCGAGCUCAAGUCAAGCCUCAUAAAUUUGGUGCAAGCUACACAAUUCAGUGGAAAGGCACAUGAAGAUGAUAGUAUACACUUGCAGAAUUUCUUAGAGAUUGGAAGCACAGUCACCAUUAACGGAGUUGACAAAGAUGUCAUACUGCUUCGCCUCUUUCCAUUCUCACUAGAAGGAAGAGCGAGGAAGUGGUUCUACACCCAUCAAGAAAACAUCAACAACUGGACGAACUUGUCACAUGCCUUUCUAGCAAAGUUUUUCCCUAUAGGCAAAACAGCUGCCUUAAGAGAAAAUAUUGUCAUUUUCCAACAGAAAAAGACAGAAACCAUUCCAGAAGCAUGGGAGCAUUUUCAAGGAUACAUAUCAGACUGUCCUCACCAUGGAAUGGCCAGAUGGUUACUCAUGCAGACCUUUUACCAUGGAUUAACCCAGAAGGCUCGUGAGUGCCUAGAUGCAUCUGCUAAGGGAUCACUUUUGGAUCUUACAAUUGGAGAAGCAGAGACACUUUUGGAUAAGAUUGCAGAAAACCAAAGCUGGUUCCAAGAUAAAGCUCAACAAUGUCAUCAAACUAAAGAAAUACCCGAAGAAGUAAAUGCACUAUCAACCAAGAUGGAAAAUUUGCUCCAUUGGAUUGACUAGAGGGCCAAGUUCAAAGAAGAUCAGAGGGCCAUUGAGACCCAAUAGCAAAGGUAUGAAUUCAGGUAAUGCUUUCAGGCAACUUUUAUCAAAAGAGAUAAUUGCUCAACAAACUAAAACUAGUGAUGAAGUUAAACAAAGGCUAGAUACAAAUGAAUCAUCUCUAAAAGAUAUACACAAUAAAAUGGAUUUUCUAUUAACUGCCUUUGAUGAGAAAAACACUAUAAUAAAUGGGUAGAGCUUAAAUUAGCAAAGCUAGCUGUUGUGUUGCCUGUUGCCACUAACAUUGAGCAGGUAAAGAACAUAACUACUAGAGGAGGGAAGUCCACCAAAGAUCCCCCACAUCCAAGAGAGAAGCAAAGAGCACCAGCACCACCAGCAGUGAUAGAAGAAGAGAACCCCGUUGAAGCAGAAGAUCUACUACAACCACCAAGUAGCAGAGAAAUGAGGAAAGAUUUUCACGACACCAACUAUUUGCCAUUUCCCAAAAGAAAUAGAGGACUGCAGUCGGAUGAGCAGUUUGUACAUUAGAGAUAUUCUCAACAAGAAGAGACCACUACCCACCACUGAGGUGAUCAAGCUAACAGAAGAAUGUAGUGCGGCCAUCCUCAACAAACCACCAAGAAAGAAGAAGGAUCUAGGAUGUCCCACCAUUGAUUGCUCGAUCGGAAACCAGCACUUCAACAAUGCACUUUGUGAUCUCAGAGCAAGUGUCAGUGUGAUGCCAGUGUCAGUCUACAAGAAGCUCGAGCAUGCAACCCUAGAACCAACAUCAAUGUGCCUACAACUAGCAGAUCAAUCAGAUCGACACCCGAUGGGCAUUGCUGAAAACAUCCCAGUCAAGAUUAGAGAUUUCCUUGUGCUAUUAGACUUCAUGGUACUGGACAUGAGUCCCGACUCAAAAGUGUCCAUCAUCCUUGGAAGGCCAUUUCUAAGCACCGUCAAUGCCCACAUUGAUGUUGGAAAGGGAGAAAUCAAGUUUAGCAUAAACGGACAAGAAGAACACUUCACAUUCAAACCCAAACCAAAGAGAGACUCUACAGUGAAGGAAGUUCAUGAAGAAGAACCACUGGAGAUAUCAUCUCUGGAGAAAGGUAAUUCAGAAGAUUAAAAGAUUUAGAGGUCCACCUUGGGGACCUAAAAAUCCAAAACCCUCACUAGGAGGUAAAUCGGUAUUUAUCCACAUCGUUAAAAUUCUUGCAUAUUUAAUUCUUAUUUAUUCAUAGCAUUAUUAUAAUAAUCAAAAGCCCCGUAUAAAUAAUAUUUAUGGUGUGUAAAAACCCAUAUUUCUUAAGUAUUAUGGAGGCACAAAAAUAUUUUUCCAUGAUCAUUCUUAGUAAGUUUUAAUUCUCAUAGUUUUUUCCUGCAUUAUACUUAUUUAUAUCAAGCUUCUAGAAGCACGACCCACAUCCCUUGGGUCCCACAUGUCAUACACCAUACCUCACAUACAUCUCAUCACAUUAUUUAUCCACCAACACCACUCCACUCACCAGACAACUUCCACCGUCCAACCACCACCCAUGAAUCAUUUUUUGGCAUAAAGACUAAGCAAAGAAGGCGGGAGAGAAGUUUUAGCCAGAGAGGGCAUCUGGGUGGGGCGCUAGCCCUACUAUAGAGGGCACCCGCCCUGUCCCCUGCUCCUCCUAUAAAAAGCCACUUCCUGCAUGCAUUUUCAUCACACAACCAUUCUAGAAAACCCACGCACACUUCAGUUCUCGGUUUCCAGAGGAGGUGCUCUAGUAGUGAAGUAGGAAGGAGAGUAGAGGGGACGGAAAGAGUGGAAGAGAGUUUGGUAGUUUUCGAUAGAAGAGUGAGAGAGCAAGGCUCAUUUAGUAAGUAGUGAUCCCACUGUCCAAAGCAGAAUUAAAAGUUGCUUAGGGGAAGUACUGUCGAAAUUAAAAAUUGUCUCGGACGACUAACCCCUGGAUGACUGACUUCUUGGACAGCUGACCACUAACAUUUAUUGCUCACAUUCUUCCACGAGUUUUUGUUUGUGUCGAUUUUUCUGUAGGACGUUGAGGAAGAUGAAGAGCGCAGGCAAGGCCCUCAAGAACAUGGGGACGAGGAGUUCAUCCCGAUUCUCCUCGCACCAGUUGGAGAUGAGCAUCGACCCGACGCCCGAGCCAGCUCCAUCGUCUUCGUCAGGCACAAGAGUCAAGGUUCUCCUCAAGACAGGAGACCUUGGGCUGAAGACCCGCAGAGAGAAGGAAGUUUUCCAACAGCUAAAGAACAAGGAUUUCAUUCACACCCCCACUCUUGAUCCUAUCCUGCUGCAAGAAACAGGUAUGGAUACUGAAUUUGACUUGAUUUUCUAGAUGGUGGGAUGGACAAACUUUUGGGACAUAACAGAACUAGGGUCUCUACUUCUCACCAUUGAAUUUCUCUGCACGUUGCAAUAUUAUGAGGGGGUAUCUCUUUUCGGAUGUUCAAACAAGAAAUCAUGUUGUCUUGGAGAGAACUGAGCGAUCAUCUCGGGUUCUCUUCAAGAUGCAUCCUAGAUAUUGACACUGAUUUGCCUAAUUUUGAGAGGCACCAGUUCUGGAGGGAGAUUUCAAGGGACGAAUACUUCUUUCAGGCCCGAACCAAUGACAUGGAACAUCCUACUCUUUGGAUGUUCCACAAAUGGAUCGGGUACAAUCUUUUUCAUCGUGGCGAUAUUAGAAAAGUAAGAGUAGGAGAUUUGCAACUUCUUUAUGCUGCUAUAAAUAAAGUACCUAUUUCACCUACCACUCUUUUAGUUGCUCAUUGGCUUAGUUUACCGAGUCUAUAGGGACCUGUCGGUUGUACUUCACUCAUCACUCGUCUAGCCUCUAGUCUCAACUUGCUAGAAAACUCGUCAAUGGAAUUCAUUGAUGAGUUACGAAUUUAUCAUGGCUAUGACACAUUUAGACAAGCUCGGAUGAUGAAAAAGGAAGGAAAUGUAAUGUAUAUGUUGUACGAUAAUAAAGGCAAGAUUCGGUUACCUAACCCAAACCUUGGCCUCUAUGUCGUUCAAAAUUAUUUGUUUGAGAUUGCAGCGGCACCGGUAAACCAGAGAGCUCCGCAGCGUGUGGAAUCCGAAAGGAUGGCCACCCAUCAAGAAUGCACCUGGCAUGGAGCUGAUCUCGGGCCAGAAGAAGCAGCGCACCUGCAUUAUCGUGACUACAACCCCCGAGUUCUUCAGGAUCCAUGGGUUCAACAUGCUCAACCAGAGGAACCAGCACAGGAGACAUGGCCGGAAGGCCAAGAUCACCACUGGGCGAACCCGCCUUUCCAUUUGGGAAGGUACUCCACUGAUCCGUUUGGAGCUUCAGGGUCUAGGCCCUAGCCUCAAUUUGAUGCAGGACGUUACUCCGAUGCCUCCUAUGUUUUCUCUGGGACUACUACCAAGAGGCCGGCGCCUUCUUCAACCGCACCGACAACACUCUCCUUGCCAUACAAGAAAGGCAGAUGCAGCAUGGACGACUCCUGGAACAGCAACAGAAGUGGAACCAGAACCACACCGCUGCAGUAUAAGACCUGAGGUGAGACACCACGUCGAUGAACGACAACAUCACCACCAUGAUGCGGUUCUGGAACAUUGAGUAGGACCGACACCGCCACAUCCAACUUGGGGGAGUUCCUCUCCAUCUACCGAGUAAGUUUCUUUUAUUGCUUUUCUUAUUUAUUUUUCUGUUUUAGUAUUCCAUAAUAAAAAAAUGAAUGAAAAAACUUAGAAAAUCCUAUAAAUAUUUUCUUUCUUAAUUUACUGCAUUCCUUAAAAAUGAAAACCACAUAAAAAGAGUUCAGAUAAGUGUGCUUUAUUUUUCCUGCUAAGUUUAAUCUCUAGAAAAUGAAAACAAAAAAGAUGCAUGAUGGAAAUGAUGAACAGUUGCUCUAUUUGCUUACUUUCAAGUACCUAGCUUUCAAAGUAGAGUUCUCCCAAGAAUUGCUAAAACUUGAAAUUUAAUAUCUAUGGGAGCAUGAACCAAAAAACUAAAGUCUAGGUAAGAGAUAGACAUGAUAUAAAGUUUGAGCUGUUGUUUAUCUUGUUCCUACUACACUAAGUUCUGGAGAUUUAUUUUGAAAAAAAACUUGCAAAUCACAUGAUGAGUUCCUAGCAUGACAAAAUUCCUACCACAGCCAUACUUGCUAUAAUUUCCAUAUCUUUUGCUACUUAUAUUCACAUUGAGUUUGAUCGAGCUGUGUAGACCCUUAGGAGCUUUUCAUGUGGUUAAAUCAAGAUACUCACUUGCACACAUCUAUUACACCAUCCACCACCAUUCAUCAAAAAUCUGCUAAAAAAUAUUGUUAUCACUCACUAUCCCAAAGUGUUGUUAUUCUCUCUCUUCAAAAAGAUUCAAUGCAGAAGAGGCAUGGGUUAUGCGAAAAUAUGCAAGGAAAUAAAAAGGGGCAAGUGCCCGGAACCUCGAAAAAGAAAGAAAAAGAGUGAGAAGAGAGGUAAAAAUGGACAAGUGUCCGAAGUAGAAUUAGGGGUACAAAGAUGCCCACCUGAGCGGAAAAAAUGGACAAGUGUCCGAUAGUAGAAUUAGAAGUAUUUAUUACCCACCUAAAAAAAAGAAAAGAAAAAAAAGAAGAAAGAAGAAAAAGAUAGCCCAUGUUCUCCCAAAGCAAAGAUCAAGAGAGGAGGAGAGAUAGCAAUAUGAGGAGCAAUGAGAAGUAAGUUUUAUCAUCACUUAUACAUUUUCACCAUUAUCAUCAUUUACUCCACCACACAUGCACAUCUUGAUUUAAUUAUAUGCUGAGUUCCUUUGGAUCCAUGGUUCGAUUAAACAACAUAUAUAUGAGCUGUUUUUCACACCUAUAAACUCCAUUUAAACAUUCCCUUGGUUAUGGGUAAGUGACAUUUUUGGUAAGGAUCCACAAAUACCACAUAUAAAGAGACUUGAGAGAGUCAUAGCUGGGAACUCUAAGCUUAUUUUUGAAAACUUAUGCAAAACUCUAGAACAAAAGUGAAGUAUAGACAGGAGGAAUAGUGCUUGACUUAAUUAUUUUGUCUUUCAAUUACUCAAGACUUAAGUGCAGGUACUAAGCCCCAUGACACUUCACUCUAAUUUAGGAGAAUUUUAUAUGAAAACAUGUGUGCCUGUCAGGAAAGAAAACAUCGAAGCAACUCCUGAUCCAUCUGAGUUUAGCUGUUUGCUCAGGGACGAGCAAAGAGUAAGUUUGGGGGAGUUUGUUUAUGGACCUUAAGUACCAAAUUCAACCAUCAACUAAACAUGGAAAAGGACCAAUAUGCACCAAACACCGAGAAUUAGGGUUUUAUGUGACAAAAUUCCAUGAGUUUUGGUGUUUGUCUAUUUCUACAGGGGGUUAUCAGAAAAUAUGGAAGGAAGGCCCACACGUCAGGUUUACAUCGAGAUAAUUACGUGUGCGGCAAUUUUCCUUAGCCUAGAAGAGUCUAGAAACGGGAAUGAAUGGGAGUCCGAGUGGGCCCGGGGGCAGGGCGCCUGCCCUCCCCCCUAGGGCGCCUACCCUGAUGCUGCAGCCAAUCAGGCUCCAUCUCCUAGAUCGCGCUCCACCGCCUCUAAUAUUCAAGGAAAACCGUGCGAUUAAGGUCGGUUUGAUCCAACGGUCCACGUUCAUUUGAGGGGGCUAUAUAAGCAAGGCCUCUCCACCCUAGGGAGAGAGGAGAAAUCAUUAUCAGAGAAAGCCAUCUGUUGACACCGUUUUUGGACAUGUGCCCAGGAUUGGUAGAG